rnacentral:rRNA from 1 species
UGAUACUAAGCCAUGCGAGUCAUUGUAGCAAUACAAGGCAUACGGCUCAGUAACGCGUAGUCAACCUAGCCUAUGGACGGGAAUAACCUCGGGAAACUGAGAAUAAUGCCCGAUAGAACAUUAUGCCUGGAAUGGUUUAUGUUCCAAAUGAUUUAUCGCCGUAGGAUGGGACUGCGGCCUAUCAGUUUGUUGGUGAGGUAAUGGCCCACCAAGACUAUUACAGGUACGGGCUCUGAGAGGAGUAGCCCGGAGAUGGGUACUGAGACACGGACCCAGGCCCUAUGGGGCGCAGCAGGCGAGAAAACUUUGCAAUGUGCGAAAGCACGACAAGGUUAAUCCGAGUGGUUUCUGCUAAAGGAACCUUUUGUCAGUCCUAGAAACACUGAUGAAUAAGGGGUGGGCAAGUUCUGGUGUCAGCCGCCGCGGUAAAACCAGCACCUCAAGUGGUCAGGAUGAUUAUUGGGCCUAAAGCAUCCGUAGCCGGCUCUGUAAGUUUUCGGUUAAAUCUGUACGCUCAACGUACAGGCUGCCGGGAAUACUGCAAAGCUAGGGAGUGGGAGAGGUAGACGGUACUCGGUAGGAAGGGGUAAAAUCCUUUGAUCUAUUGAUGACCACCUGUGGCGAAGGCGGUCUACCAGAACACGUCCGACGGUGAGGGAUGAAAGCUGGGGGAGCAAACCGGAUUAGAUACCCGGGUAGUCCCAGCUGUAAACCAUGCAAACUCAGUGAUGCAUUGGCUUGUGGCCAAUGCAGUGCUGCAGGGAAGCCGUUAAGUUUGCCGCCUGGGAAGUACGUACGCAGGUAUGAAACUUAAAGGAAUUGGCGGGGGAGCACCACAAGGGGUGAAGCCUGCGGUUCAAUUGG